rnacentral:miRNA from 1 species
UUGCACAGCUUUGGUAGGAAG